rnacentral:lncRNA from 1 species
UGUUUCCCGGACUUCUCAGAUAAACCCUCUGCAAUCUCUUGGGUUCCUUUCUCCGUUCCUUCUUUAAGAACAUUCUCAAAGCUUUCGUCUAUUGGCAUCGGCUUGGUCUCCACAUCUGCUUUUGUUAUUUCUUGGUCUUCAAUUUCAAUUUCUAAGGAUUCCUCAAUUGGAAGUGACACCUCCCCAUCCUGACUUGAUGAUUUCUUCAUGGAGCAGUGGAAAGAACGUAGUCCAGAAAUUAGAAGGUUUUGGUCCAUGGCACAGCUGAGCACUGACAACACAUCCUUCCCUGGGCUUAUUCCAUCUGAGAGGGAGAUGCACAUGUAUGAUUUCUUCUACGGUCAUUCUGAAGAUCGGUGUCAUCAAUAAUUUGGGCUUGGGACUAUCCAGUUUCACAGGGGCAUUCAGUUGAUUGAAAAUCCAAUAUCAAUAUUGUUUAUAGUAUCAAAACAAUCUACCGAUCAAAGUCUCUAAAAUUACUACAAAAACCUAUUUGAUAUCCUAUGGCAUUGCCCAAUUUAAAUUAUUUAUAAAAUAUGCAGUAAAUGUGUAUGCCAGAAAAUCAAUGUCCUAGGCAUUGACUCCUAAUUAAUUGUUUGAAAUAUUUUCAUAAUAGUGAAUGAGCACAGUGUUUGCCUGACCUCUACGAGGAAGAGGAGGAAGUAGAAGCAGAACAAAGGAAAGGAGGAAGAGGAAGAGAAAUAAGAAAGGCUGAGAGGGUUGAAAGACUUUAAGGGGGGCUAGUAAGAAAAUUGUAGGCCUCUAGAAUUGUACACAGGCCAGCCUUUCCUUCUCAUCUACUUCACUUUCCUAAAAAUCAAUUUUAAGCUAGACAAAAAAUGUGCAGAGACCAACUUUAAGUGGAUCCAAGGCAGUAAUUUGAGCUGAUUCCAUCAAAUUAUAGAUGCAUGAGAAGCAUGCAUUUUCUAAAGAAUAACAACGCUGCAACAAACAUUUUUGAAGGAACUACUAAAAUAUUUCCAUCUCUAAACUCAUCCUCUUCCACUUCAGAUGAUUUCUUUUCCAUUUCAUUCUAUUCUCUGAAGCAAAAACCAGAGGAAAGAAAUCUGAUGGAAUGAAAUUCUGCUAGCAACCAUCUGAAAGUAUAAAUGAGGGAGAAAGUCCAAGAUUUAAAAAUUCAAGCAAAUUUUCUUGCCUGUUGGAAGGAAGAGCUCUCAAAUAAAGAGAUAAUCAAGAGACAUAUUACAGGGCAUCAAGAGCCAUGAAAGUAAAUCAGCAAACUGGAUAAUUUCUUGCAGAUUAGAAACAUCUCCCUGAAUCACAGUUGAAGCAAAGGGGAUGAUGCCAGGUCUGACUCCUACUUGGAAAAUCAUAAUCCCAUGUUUCCUCUUGCCUGGGCAACUGUGGAGCUGUGACAUGCCUGUGUGCAGCCCACUGCACAAUCAGCAGACCUCAGGCAAAUCCAGCUCCAAGCUGCACCUAGCACCUUUAAUGAAGUGACUGAUUAAAUAAAAGCAUCCCCCUUUUGUUAAGCAAUACUUUCUGAAGCAGCAUGGAUUUAGAGGCAGCCCUGUGAGUUUGUAGGCGAUAAGCACUAUAUAAAUACUAGGUAAUAGUGGGAUUAGAGUCAGGGAAAGACCUGUGUCCUGUGUAUGAAAUGAGAAACUGGAAGGAGAAACUUUUAAAGAGAAAAAUACAGGAAAAGGCAGCCCUUUAUCCUUUUCAUUUCCUCUUAUUCAUAUUUCUUUCUGCUAAAGCUUAUUUCUGAUGGUAAAAUCUCUUUUCUCUUGGGUCUCAUUAUUUCAUUCUCUUUUUAAAAAAUAUUCCCUAAUUAUUGCAACCAAGUAAAUUUUUUCUAACAAACAGAAGGCCCAAGUGACAGCUCGUGAUUAAAUAUACACACUAGGAAACAAACAGUAGUUUCUUUCAAUUGACUGAACUGCCUCUAUACUUACCAUCUUGCAAAGAUAUAAUGACCAGAGACAAAUGAAACUUUAAUAAGGUUUCUCGGCCCUUUCUGCUAUCCUCAAGUAAGUAUCAAAACCUUCCAUGAAAAUUCAGUUCCAUUUGAAGAACAGGAACAAGGCCUCAUGCCCCUGCAUAACUAAAGCUCUUCUUUCUGAUUUCCUUCACCAGUUGCUUAUGACUUUCCUUCUCAUUUCUUUUCAGAUUUCUCAGGCAAGUACAACUGAGCUGAUAAAGAAACAGCAAGCCCAUUGAGUGGUUAACCCAUCAGUCAUUAUAUAUUUGCAACAUUUAGCAUUGAAUUGAUAUACUAAGUUUUCACUGAAAUCUCUUUUAUCCAUGCCCACACAAACAGUAUAGUGUCAAAGGGCCUGUUCUUGUUGAUAGUGUUGGGUAAUAACUCCUCUCCAUCUUCUUCACGAAGCCCUGGUGAAUUCUGGACAUCAAGUAGGGUGACCAUGAAAUUUAUCAUCCAAACUUGGACACAUAGUGAAAGAAGUGUUACUAAAAAUUAGGAAAUGGGGGGGAAAGGGGCAGAAUUUUGAACUAUUCCAGGAAAACUGAGAAGUAUGGUCGCCCUACGAAUUAGUCUCCCCACUUCUAGUCUGAUAUCCCUCAAAAUCUCCCUCCUGUUGGAAAUCAGAGUGAUCUAUUGUUAUUAAACAGAUCAUGUGACUCUCCUGCUUAAAGCCCUCCAGUGAUUCCCAUUAUCCAUGGGAUAAGUUCCAACAUUCCCCAGGCAACAUAAAAUGUGUUAUAUUUUCUAAUACCUACUAUCUCCCAGUGAUUGCAAUUUCUCAUGCUACAUUUAAAUGUCUGGCAACGGAACUGAUUGUAGUGGCCCAAACACUAUCAACUACUUUUAAUCUCCAGGCCUCUACAACUGUAUGAGUCACAUGAUAUUGGAACUAUUCCCUUGUAUUAUCUCUCUCUCAGUAGAUAAGGAUGACGUCCUAGUGAUCUUCAUGCCCCCAGUAACUUGCCAGUGCUGAUGCUUAGUAAGGACCUAAUUAACAUUGAUCCAACUGGACACAGACAUGGAACAAUUAGGCAUUCCAUAUUCUGUCCUUUCCAUAUUCUGAUAAAGCUACAGUAGGUUGGUUCUACCCUAUAUAGGAAGCUUGCUACAUUUAUAGAAACUCAAUAGUUACCAGAACAGGAAAACUGAUUCACAGUGUCUUGUUAAACCAAACACCAAUUUUGGUUACUAUUCCUUGAUAAAGAUUGAUACAAAACCAGCCUGACCAUAAAAAGUGGCAAUCCCCAUGUUGAUGCUGGUGGCCCUAGAGAGAGAAAGUCUGACACAAGCCAGAGGAAGAGUGUUCAUAUCCCAAAGACUUAGGAAGCAGCUGGUUGUAUGAAAACCUCACAGCACUACAUUACACAUGUUCUUCCCUUUCUCUUCUCUUUCUCUCUGGUUUUGCCUCCCAGUUUGCUUUUAGUAUAGUUACUCUUUUCAUUUUCUUUUGGGCCAUUUUUCUUACUACUGUGUAAACUUUACCUCAUGCUUAUUCCUAAUGUGCCCAGAAACACCUCAAUCCUUACAGAGGCAUCAGAGCUCUAGAUUUUCAGGAUCUCUCUCACCUGUUCCUUCCCACAGAAAUGAUAAUAAGGGUUCCUGCUCACAUUUCCUCCCCCACUCCCUCUGCUUCCUAACCUACUCUGGUGCUUCCUUGUGUAGCUCUGCAUGGUGUGGUGUAAGAGUUAUUAACAUUAUUGAAGAUGGGGUCUUGCUGUGUUGCCUAGGCUGGAGUGCAGUGGUGCAAUCAUAGUGGUGCAAUCACUACAGCCUUAAACUCCUGGGCCCAAGCCAACCUCCUGCCUCAGCCUCCUUGAUAGCUGGGAUUACAGGUGUUAGAGAUUGGGUCUUGUAUGUUGGCCAGUCUGGUAUCAAACUCCUGACCUCAAGUGAUCCUCUUGCCUCAGCCUUUCAAGUCACUAGGAUUACAGAUGUGAGCCACUGCACCUGAUCUUGUGAUGGUUAAUUUUACCUAUUAAUUUAGCCGGACUCCAAUGCCCAGAUUGGUAAACAUUAUUCUGGAUGGAUCCCUGACCAAUGCAUGUGGUGUGUCCCCUCCUCUUGGGAACUGUGAGUAACAAUCUAUCUUUUUGAUGGCAAUUGUCUCUUAAUCUGUAAGUUUCACCAUACCUGAAUAAUUUUUAAAAACCCACAUUUUAAAAUAGCCAUGCAGAACAAUAUACCUACUUUCAUUAAGAAAGGGCCAACUAGUGAAGGUUUCAAGCAGUAGAGGAGCAUGUUGAGAGUUUUUCCAUAAAGUUUAAUUUAGCACCAUUAUGUAGAAUCUAAUAAAACCGAGAUGAAUUUUGCUUAUUCCUUUUUCCCCUUUCUGCUUUUCAAUCUCAGUUCCCUGGUUCUAUCUGCUAACUUCCUACUGAUCAUUCAAAGCCCAUUUCAAAUGCCACCUUCUCUAGGAGGCAUUCUCUAAUCUCCUCGGUCAAAACUAAUAUUUCUUUCCUCUAUGUUUCUAUUGUGCUUUAUUUAUAUCACAAUUAUAGUACUCAUCACAAUAUAUCAUGGUUAAUUGUAUAUAUAUAUAUCUGUCUCUCUUGCUAGACUGCAGUCUUUCUGAGAGAAACAGUUUAGUCUUACCCAUCUUGGUAACCUCAGGACCUAGCAUAUCAUUUGCCAUUAUCAACAAAAACUGGACUGAGCUAUAUUCUCAUUUAGAGGCAGGACAAGUAUAUAGAUGAUUGCAAUAGUUCCAUUAAAAGAUUAGUUAUCAAGCCCCUGAACUAGAGAUGUAGCAGUAAGGAUGAAAAAGGAUUAUCAGGUACAUGAGCCACUGUUCAGGUGGCAUCUAGAGCUGUGCCAUCCAGGACAGCAGCCACUUCUCCCAUUUGGAUGCUGGGCAUUUGAAAGGUAGCUCAUUUGCUGUAAGUAUAAAAUAUUCAUUGAAUAUCAAAGACAUAGUAUAAGAAAAUACAUCAUACUUAAUUAAAAUUUUUCAUAUUGAUUACAGGUGGAAAUGAUAUUUUAGAUAUACUUGAUUAAAUAAAAUAUAUUAAAGUCUUAAAAUUUA